rnacentral:ncRNA from 2 species
CAUAACUUGUCGGAGUGCCAAAGAGCUGAGAUCGCAAUUGCGAGAUCCGUAGAACCUGAAUCAGAUUAGUAUCUGCGAAGGGAACAAGUAGGAAGAGUCU